GUAACAGGUGUGUUUAUUGAUCGGGUAACAGGUGAGUUUAUUGAUCAGGUAAUAGGUGAGUUUAUUGAUCAGGUAACAGGUGUGUUUAUUGAUCAGGUAACAGGUGAGUUUAUUGAUCAGGUAACAGGUGUGUUUAUUGAUCUGGUAACAGGUGAGUUUAUUGAUCAGGUAACAGGUGUGUUUAUUGAUCUGGUAACAGGUGAGUUUAUUGAUCAGGUAACAGGUGUGUUUAUUGAUCAGGUGUAUCCCACCGUGGCUCGGUCGUUGGGGAUGGGCUUCUGUACGUCGUUUAGUCGGAUUGGAGGAAUGAUCGCUCCGUUCAUCGCUCAGGUGUUGAUGUCUCAGUCGGUGAUUCUGGCUCUCAGCCCCUUUGCCAUGGCCUGUGUGAUAUGCGCUCUGGCAAACCUGUUCCUGCCCAUCGAAACCAAGGGGCGAGCUCUGCUGCAAAGCUCCUGAUGACGUCUCCAAACUGUUUUGUUGUUACAUUAAACCUGUUACUGAAAUCAGCUGUUUGUAAGUUUGUUGAUAAAUUAUUAAAAUAUGAUCAAAACCUU